rfam:Sporosarcina psychrophila strain DSM 6497, complete genome.
UUCUUAUCAAGAGAGACCGAGGGAUUGGCCCUAUGACGUCUCAGCAACCAACCUGUUCAGGUACGGUGCUAAUUCCUUUAGGUGUUCAUUUCCCUAGAAGAUAAGAA